GAUGAACGCUGGCGGCGUGCCUAAUACAUGCAAGUCGAGCGAACAGAUAAGGAGCUUGCUCCUUUGACGUUAGCGGCGGACGGGUGAGUAACACGUGGGUAACCUACCUAUAAGACUGGGAUAACUUCGGGAAACCGGAGCUAAUACCGGAUAACAUUUGGAACCGCAUGGUUCUAAAGUGAAAGAUGGUUUUGCUAUCACUUAUAGAUGGACCCGCGCCGUAUUAGCUAGUUGGUAAGGUAACGGCUUACCAAGGCGACGAUACGUAGCCGACCUGAGAGGGUGAUAGGCCACACGGGAACUGGAACACGGUCAAGACUCCUACGGGAGGCAGCAGUAGGGAAUCUUCCGCAAUGGGCGAAAGCCUGACGGAGCAACGCCGCGUGAGUGAUGAAGGGUUUCGGCGCGUAAAACUCGGUUAUUAGGGAAGAACAAACGUGUAAGUAACUGUGCACGUCUUGACGGUACCUAAUCAGAAAGCCACGGCUAACUACGUG
rnacentral:rRNA from 1 species